CCGCCCGCCAGCGCCGCGUUCCCACGACCCGCGUCCGCGGGGGGCGCAGGGCGCGGGCGCCGAGCAUCCCGGGGAGGAUGAGGCCGGGCGCCGGCCCGAGCGGGCCGCGGCUGGGGCUCGGCAGGAAUUAAAGAAGCCGGGAAGAUGGGGCGCCGCGCGCUGCCCGCCCGGCCGGGGCUGGGGACCGGGGACGCCGGCCGGGCGCUCGUCUGCCUGCUCUGCUGCGUGCUCCCGCACACCGCCCCGCAGGUGCUCAGGAUCGGCUCAUCCUAGUCUCAAUGUGUUAACUACUAUUUGGAAAAAAAUCAGCAGUUGACAACCUGAUAAGCUGCCGCAGAGACAUGACACUGUGCUGUCAGGCUGUUAUAAUACUUCAUACAUCACUGGAUCUCCAUAAAUACAGUUAAUUACCAGGUCAUGAGCAAGAGCUUUUAAAAGAAUUUUCAAUUCAUAUCUUGAACUGCUGAGACAGGAGUAAGAGGUCAUACCGACUGAGGACCUGCUGUUGUUCUGCUAUGUCCAAACCCUGCAGACAUGUCCUGAAGACCAGAAAGCCUGCAAGGAUUGUGCUAUGCUAUGCAUCUUAAUCAAGUAGCCCAGAAAAGGGAAAUACAAAUCUCAAUGAGAAAAGGCAAGAACUACCUAGAAUAUGGUUUGGGGUAUUAACAUACAUUUGUUUUCAUUGGCCACAUACAAUAGUAACUGCAUAUCUUUUUUUUUGUAAUAGCUUUAAAACAUUCAGAUUAAAGAUUGAC
rnacentral:lncRNA from 1 species